ensembl:lncRNA
UUUCAUUCCAACCAGACACCAGUUUGCUCAGGUGUUGGUUGUUUUUAGUUUUUCUGAAGCUGCUAGGACCUCAUUUCACAUUGAGAGACUUAGAAGUUCUUUCAUUCCCUAUAGAGAAGGCUAGGGUAAUUGAAUGCUGAGCGAGUGGGCUUUCCAUAUCGGCCAAGUCAGCCACCACAGAGGCUUUGGUGAAAACUCCUUCGGAGUGAGGCACAGACUUGUGAAUAUCACAUGAGAGCCAGGGCUGAGACGGGGCCACCUCAGCUGGGGAAAACCCCUGACUGCUCACCAGGCUGGACCCAGCACAAGUCACACCAGUUUGGUUGCAAAGGCCAGCAGGGCUAGCAGAGCCCAGCACGACAAAAGGAUCUGUUGAAGAAAGUGGACAUUCAAUUAAUGACUCACCUGACACCAUAGCUUCCUCUCCAGAGUGAUAUCUUAGCUUUGAGAUACACUGAAGCUUGACUCUCAUGACAUUUCACUAUCAAACAUUCAGGAAAGUGUGUUUGCUGAUACAGUAUUUUGGACACAUCUUGGAUGAUUUUGAGCUGGCAAAAUAAUAGAGAAGGAAUUAUGACAUGUGAAUAUCUUAAAUAUUAUCUGAAUGGACCUAUAGGGAAUUGUUGGAGGAGGUCAUUAAGAGGACAUGACCAUUGGUUGACAUGUGAAAUUGACCUAGGCAAUCAGGGGCUCAUCACCCCUCCCCUGUGGGUGUGGAGAUCUACUCAUCUUACAAUUUCCCAAGACAAGUCUGGUGAGUAAGUUCCUUUGAUUAUUAAACAUGCCAUUUAUCACUCAGGAGUGGACUGCUUCUUCCUUUGGUCUCUCUUUGAUGACCAUAUAUGAGGGCCAGUUUGUGAACCAACAAGGAUAAGUAUCAGUCAUUUAUAUAUCAGUGGUUCUACCAUGAAGAGAGGUUUUCCUGUGCUGAUCAAAAUACAUAUGUAGAAUAAAACCUGUCUUAACG